rnacentral:lncRNA from 1 species
CUAUGUUGCUGUCCAUAUCAUUCCCACGAGCAGCUAGGGAAAGGUUGGUCCACCCACACAGAGCCCCGCAUGUGUGGGUAAGGCUGAUACAAUGAGGUGCGCCUGUUGCCUCAAGGUAGUGAAACCAAGAUCCCCGUGCCCCCUGCAGCACCUAUCUCGAGGCCGAAGCCACGGGAGUCGUUGCACUGCAGGCGGUUUGCGGU